rfam:Saccharibacillus sacchari DSM 19268 genomic scaffold SacsacDRAFT_Scaffold1.1, whole genome shotgun sequence.
CCGUGCUAGAUGGGGAGGUAGCGGUGCCCUGUAACUCGCAAUCCGCUAUAGCGAGGUUGAAUUCCUACUCGAGGUCUUGCCCUGUAAGGUUUGGUCUUUACACAUAAUGUUGACGGUUGGGUCCUCCGCAAUGAGCACCUGUGAACCUGGUCAGGUCCGGAAGGAAGCAGCCAUAAGCAGACAAGCUUUUGUGCCGGAGGGUGGCCUAGCCCGAGUUGUUGUGUAGAGGUGCCGCUUGGAUGGCAUCGUAUCGAAGGUAGGUGCACGG